rnacentral:rRNA from 1 species
AUUCCAGCUCCAAUAGCGUAUAUCUAAGUUGUUGCAGUUAAAAAGCUCGUAGUUGGAUUUUGGGUCGGGGGUACCGGUCCGGUGUUUCACUGUGCACUGGUCUCCCCUUCCUUUCUGCCGGGGACGGCGUUUGCUCUUUACUGAGCGGCGUCGGAGUCGGCGUUGUUACUUUGAAAAAAUUAGAGUGUUCAAAGCAAGCCAUCGCUCUGAAUACAUUAGCAUGGAAUAACAUGAUAGGACUCUGGUCUUAUUUUGUUGGUUUCCGAGACUGGAGUAAUGAUUAAGAGGGACAGUCGGGGGCAUCCGUAUUUCAUUGUCAGAGGUGAAAUUCUUGGAUUUAUGAAAGACGAACUUCUGCGAAAGCAUUUGCCAAGGAUGUUUUCAUCA